rnacentral:piRNA from 1 species
UAUGCAGCUAGAGACACGAGCUCUGGGGGU